UCAGCUGUUCUUCUCUGGCUUCAGCUCUGACGUCAAACCCCUCUCAUCUGAGAGAACUGGAUCUGAGGUUCAACGAGCUGCAGGGGCCAGGAGUGAAGGAGCUGUGUGGUUUUCUACAGAGUCCAACCUGUCGACUUGAGACUCUGAGGUGGAGGUGGGAGUGAUCUUUGUGAAGGUGAGUGUGGAGAGGACAGUGUGUGUGGACGGAGGCUGAGCUGUGUCCUUAGGAUCCAGAGGCUGAAGCAGCAGCAGCUUGUGUGUAGAGCGGCUCUGACUGGGCCUUGUUGCUGGGAGGCAGAGUGGAGACAGAGCUCCAGAGGAAUCAGAGGAGGUGAGCUGCUCUGAGAUCAGCUGUCACACAGUGUCCAGUCCACCAUCCUCCCUGUGUGUUCCUGUGGAUGUGACACAGCAUCAUCACUGGAUCUGCUGCUGCUCUGUCCUUUGACACACAAAAGUCAAAGUCGUAAAUAUUUCCAAGUUAUGUGAAGAAAAAUGUGCAAAUUUAAUUCAAAUUUUAAUUUCAAAUGUUAAAAGUGACAUUAUAUUUUCCUCGUAGAGAUGUGAAGCUGUGAGCAGUCGCUGUUAUAAAUAAAUAUCUGCUGAGUUCAGACAAGCUUCUUAUAUUUUAAACAGUUUCACCCUGAUCCUGCUGACGGCAGCGUGUUACCAUGUUGUGUUGAAAACUAAAGACAUCAGGUGAAAACCAUGAGCACUGCAGGGAAUCAGAAAGUGUAAAGUCGUGUUAUCUGAACACAGAUUGAUGAGACCAGGCUGUAAAUAAGAUGCUCAGUACAUUGAAGUAUAAAGUCAACAGUGAUUUCUAAGAGUCGAUGUAAAUGAAGAAGAAAAGAAAAUGACGAGGUGAAGAACUUUUUCAGAUUAAAUAAGAAGCAGAAAUAUUUUCACCCAAUGAGAAGCUGAGGUUGUUUUUCUGUUCAAAGUUGAUUUAAUCACAUUAUUUGUCAAAUAGAGAAGUUUGACGUGAACAUAGUUUAAUAACCUGCUUCAUCUAAUGACUCUGAUGUAAAGUGGUGUGAGUCUGUGGGUGAAAGACGUUUAGAAACACAGACUUUCCAAAUUAUUUAAUUCAACUGCUGCAAAAACAAUGAAAUGCAGUUUGAUCAUCACGAAAAUGUCUUUUUCAAACAUCAGGUUGUUUUUUUUACUUCGAAAAUCUUGUGGUUGUGCUUUGUUUACAUGAAUCACUUCUUUAUUUAUACACUUCAUUAAAGAUUAAAAAUCUC